UGGAAAAGUGAGGAACAGAAGAAAAGUCA
rnacentral:piRNA from 1 species